UACGUAGGGUGCGAGCGUUAAUCGGAAUUACUGGGCGUAAAGCGUGCGCAGGCGGUGAUGUAAGACCGAUGUGAAAUCCCCGGGCUUAACCUGGGAACUGCAUUGGUGACUGCAUUGCUGGAGUAUGGCAGAGGGGGGUGGAAUUCCACGUGUAGCAGUGAAAUGCGUAGAUAUGCGGAGGAACACCGAUGGCGAAAGCAGUCCCCUGGGCCUGUACUGACGCUCAUGCACGAAAGCGUGGGGAGCAAACAGG
rnacentral:rRNA from 1 species